rnacentral:tRNA from 1 species
GGUUGUGGCUCAGUGAUAGAGCAUUUGCCUCACACACAUGAGGCCCUGGGUUCGAUCCUCAGCACCA